GCCCCUGUAGCUCAGCCGGUAGAGUGCUGCCUUGGUAAGGCAGAGGUCGCGAGUUCGAGUCUCGCCAGGGGCU
rnacentral:tRNA from 1 species